ACUCCUACGGGAGGCAGCAGUGGGGAAUAUUGGACAAUGGGCGCAAGCCUGAUCCAGCCAUGCCGCAUGAGUGAUGAAGGCCUUCGGGUUGUAAAGCUCUUUCACCCACGACGAUGAUGACGGUAGUGGGAGAAGAAGCCCCGGCUAACUUCGUGCCAGCAGCCGCGGUAAUACGAAGGGGGCAAGCGUUGUUCGGAAUGACUGGGCGUAAAGGGCGCGUAGGCGGUUCGUUGCGUCAGAUGUGAAAGCCCCGGGCUCAACCUGGGAACUGCAUUUGAUACGGGCGGGCUUGAAUCCAAGAGAGGGUGGUGGAAUUCCCAGUGUAGAGGUGAAAUUCGUAGAUAUUGGGAAGAACACCAGUGGCGAAGGCGGCCACCUGGCUUGAUAUUGACGCUAAAACGCGAAAGCGUGGGGAGCAAACAGGAUUAGAUACCCUGGUAGUCCACGCCGUAAACGAUGAGAACUAGGUGUUGCGGGAAUUGACCCCUGCAGUGCCGCAGCUAACGCAUUAAGUGCUCCGCCUGGGAAGUACGGUCGCAAGACUAAAACUCAAAGGAAUUGACG
rnacentral:rRNA from 1 species